rnacentral:misc_RNA from 1 species
GAACCCAUCUCGAACGUAGUUUCUUGUCUUUUUUUCGAAAAUGAGAAGCAAUUUUGAAGUUCGAGGAUCUGAGUAAUCACCGGAUGUUUUCCUUUUCGGCUUGCUGGAAAGGAGAGUUUUGAUCCCGGGGGAUGCUUGAAAUGAGGUUUUUGUUUUCCAUUCCUUCCUUGGAGUUCGUAUUCCUUUGGCCUGAAAGCAUAUCUAUUUAGUCCCGUCAAAAGGAUUAUUGCUCUUUGCUGAAAGUGUUGAAGGAGAACUUUGAGAGGGAGUGUGCCUCAAUUUACAGGGACUCUCACAA